rnacentral:rRNA from 1 species
CAGUCGACGGGGAUACGUUUUCGGAUGUAUUCUAGUGGCGCANNNGGUGAGUAACGCGUGAGCGACCUGACCCAAAGAGGGGGAUAACAUCGAGAAAUCGAUGCUAAUACCGCAUAAGACCACGGUAUCGCAUGGUACAGAGGUCAAAGGAGCAAUCCGCUUUGGGAGGGGCUCGCGUCCCAUUAGAUAGUAGGCGGGGUAACGGCCCACCUAGUCAACGAUGGGUAGCCGAGCUGAGAGGCUGAUCGGCCACACUGGAACUGAGACACGGUCCAGACUCCUACGGGAGGCAGCAGUGGGGAAUAUUGGGCAAUGGGCGAAAGCCUGACCCAGCAACGCCGCGUGAGGGAAGAAGGUUUUCGGAUUGUAAACCUCUGUCGCAGAUGACGAAGGAAGUGACGGUAAUCUGUGAGGAAGCCCCGGCUAACUACGUGCCAGCAGCCGCGGUAAUACGUAGGGGGCGAGCGUUGUCCGGAAUUACUGGGCGUAAAGGGUGCGUAGGCGGUUGAUUAAGUUGGAUGUGAAAUACCCGGGCUUAACCUGGGGGGUGCAUUCAAAACUGGUCAACUAGAGUUCAGGAGAGGGAAGCGGAAUUCCUAGUGUAGCGGUGAAAUGCGUAGAUAUUAGGAGGAACACCAGUGGCGAAGGCGGCUUUCUGGACUGACACUGACGCUGAGGCACGAAAGCGUGGGGAGCAAACAGGAUUAGAUACCCUGGUAGUCCACGCGGUAAACGAUGAAUACUAGGUGUAGGGGGUAUCAACUCCCUCUGUGCC